rnacentral:rRNA from 1 species
GUAGUCAUAUGCUUGUCUCAAAGAUUAAGCCAUGCAUGUCUAAGUAUAAGCAAUUUAUACGGUGAAACUGCGAAUGGCUCAUUAAAUCAGUUAUCGUUUAUUUGAUAGUACCCUACUACAUGGAUACCUGUGGUAAUUCUAGAGCUAAUACAUGCUGAAAACCCCGACUUCGGAAGGGGUGUAUUUAUUAGAUAAAAAACCAACGCCCUUCGGGGCUCCUUGGUGAUUCAUAAUAACUUAACGAAUCGCAUGGCCUUGCGCCGGCGAUGGUUCAUUCAAAUUUCUGCCCUAUCAACUUUCGAUGGUAGGAUAGUGGCCUACCAUGGUGGCAACGGGUAACGGGGAAUUAGGGUUCGAUUCCGGAGAGGGAGCCUGAGAAACGGCUACCACAUCCAAGGAAGGCAGCAGGCGCGCAAAUUACCCAAUCCCGAUACGGGGAGGUAGUGACAAUAAAUACUGAUACAGGGCCCUUUUGGGUCUUGUAAUUGGAAUGAGUACAAUCUAAAUCCCUUAACGAGGAACAAUUGGAGGGCAAGUCUGGUGAACCAUCAGUUCUCUGCUGACGCCAGAGAUAGUAGGGUCCCCCCCGGUCCUCCGGGGGGGAUUACGCCUGCUAGUCGAGCACUCGGUGUGGCGAUGGGUGAGUGCCGGCGAGGUGACCUGGUACGGGGAAGCCUAAGGGUUGUCGGCCGCGAGGGGGGCCCGUUCGACCUAUGGUAAUCCCGUGGCGAGCUCCAGCCGGGCGGAAGCCCGCUGGGGCCGUCGUAACGCGCGGAAAGGCACCGGCUGCCACCUCCGGGUGGUGGCUCAAGGGACGUGCUGUCCCAUCCGAAAGGAUGCCCUCAACUGGAGCACCCAUCGUGUAAAGGUUGGGGGGGGCACGCGGCGUGGCGCCGUGUGCCCGGGAGACCCUCCCCCCGCGGGUUCCCGCGGGUGGGGGGGCUGUGAACGGCCAGCAGCCGCGGUAAUUCCAGCUCCAAUAGCGUAUAUUAAAGUUGUUGCAGUUAAAAAGCUCGUAGUUGAACCUUGGGCCUGGCUGGCCGGUCCGCCUCACCGCGAGUACUGGUCCGGCUGGGCCUUUCCUUCUGGGGAACCCCAUGGCCUUCACUGGCCGUGGCGGGGAACCAGGACUUUUACUGUGAAAAAAUUAGAGUGUUCAAAGCAGGCCUUUGCUCGAAUACAUUAGCAUGGAAUAAUAGAAUAGGACGUGCGGUUCUAUUUUGUUGGUUUCUAGGACCGCCGUAAUGAUUAAUAGGGAUAGUCGGGGGCGUCAGUAUUCAGCUGUCAGAGGUGAAAUUCUUGGAUUUGCUGAAGACUAACUACUGCGAAAGCAUUCGCCAAGGAUGUUUUCAUUAAUCAGGGAACGAAAGUUAGGGGAUCGAAGACGAUCAGAUACCGUCGUAGUCUUAACCAUAAACUAUGCCGACUAGGGAUCGGACGGUGUUUCUAUGAUGACCCGUUCGGCACCUUACGAGAAAUCAAAGUUUUUGGGUUCUGGGGGGAGUAUGGUCGCAAGGCUGAAACUUAAAGAAAUUGACGGAAGGGCACCACAAGGCGUAAACCAUUGCUACAGCCGCAGCAACUCUGCGCCGAACAGCAGCCCGAAAGGGUGAUGUGGUGCCCUCUAAGCGGUAAAUGCUAGUCUGCCACAGGCAGGCGACACGCUCAAAUUGCGGGAAACCCCUAAAGCUCUCAGCUACCAAGCCGCCGGUCGAAAGACGGCGGUGGCCAGGUUAAUUGCCUCGGGUACGGUCACAACGCUGGGAGAUGCAUGGGCGAUCCGCAGCCAAGCCCCUACGUCCCGGCAGGGAUACGGGGAAGGUUCAGAGACUAGAUGGGCGUGGGUUGGCCGGGUUAGGGGGGUGUCCCCCCCCCGGGCGGCUUAAGAUAUAGUCCGGCACCGGGAGAGAUCCCGGUGGACAGGUCCACCUGUAAAACGGGAGCCUGCGGCUUAAUUUGACUCAACACGGGGAAACUCACCAGGUCCAGACAAAAUAAGGAUUGACAGAUUGAGAGCUCUUUCUUGAUCUUUUGGAUGGUGGUGCAUGGCCGUUCUUAGUUGGUGGAGUGAUUUGUCUGCUUAAUUGCGAUAACGAACGAGACCUCGGCCCUUAAAUAGCCCGGUCCGCGUCUGCGGGCCGCUGGCUUCUUAGGGGGACUAUCGGCUCAAGCCGAUGGAAGUGCGCGGCAAUAACAGGUCUGUGAUGCCCUUAGAUGUUCUGGGCCGCACGCGCGCUACACUGACAGGGCCAGCGAGUACAUCACCUUGGCCGAGAGGUCUGGGUAAUCUUGUUAAACCCUGUCGUGCUGGGGAUAGAGCAUUGCAAUUAUUGCUCUUCAACGAGGAAUGCCUAGUAGGCACGAGUCAUCAGCUCGUGCCGAUUACGUCCCUGCCCUUUGUACACACCGCCCGUCGCUACUACCGAUUGAAUGGCUCAGUGAGGCCUUCGGACUGGCUCAGGGGGGUUGGCAACGACCGCCCAGAGCCGGAAAGUUGGUCAAACUUGGUCAUUUAGAGGAAGUAAAAGUCGUAACAAGGUUUCCGUCGCCUAAGUCAUGCGCUGGAAUGGAUGAUUCCUUCCGCGGUGUACACUUAUGGAAGCCUUUGCAGCCACGCAAGUGGUAGACCCGAAGCGACUGUAAACAAGUUUGGUGUCGUGAUGCAAGUCAGCGGUCCGCUGGCGACACUUUCGAAUUGACGGGGACACCCUAAAGCCGAUCGCACCAACCCGUGCGGGGAAACCUCACGGGGGCCUGUGGUAACGACACAGGGGACGGUAACAGACGAUCCGGAUAGUUCUGCCUGGCAGAGAGGAUGGGUAAUCCGCAGCGAAGCCCCUACGUCGCGCCCCCCUCCGGGGGCUCGAUACGGGGAACGUUCACAGACUAAGUGGAAGUGGGUGGGGUCCCCAGGCCUGGGACCCUGCUUAAGAUAUAGUCGGGCCACCUGGGAGACCAGGUGGGAAGUACACCGCUACGAACCGUUCCGUAGGUGAACCUGCGGAAGGAUCAUUA